UACGUAGGGCGCAAGCGUUGUCCGGAAUUAUUGGGCGUAAAGAGCUCGUAGGCGGCUUGUCACGUCGGUUGUGAAAGCCCGGGGCUUAACCCCGGGUCUGCAGUCGAUACGGGCAGGCUAGAGUUCGGUAGGGGAGAUCGGAAUUCCUGGUGUAGCGGUGAAAUGCGCAGAUAUCAGGAAGAACACCCGUGGCUAAGGCGGUUCUCUAGUACGGUACUGACGCUGAGACGCGAAAGCGUGGGGAGCGAACAGG
rnacentral:rRNA from 1 species